CUGGCGUUGUCAGGUUCCGGAAAGUCUGAGUAGCCGCCCUCCCUAUAUAUACCCCCCACCCCCCCCGCUGCGGGGGGGUGGGGCCCGCCGAGGUGCGCAUGCGGCUUGGGCCUGGGCCCCAAGCCUGCGUGUGCACUUGCGAGGGUACUCCGGGAGGGAGCACUUGGCCUAGGGCAUCCGAGCCGUCGCGGCCUAGCUAGAGAGGCUGAGUCUUCCAGUCGACGCUGGGCUCACACGCCCCAGACUGGUGGUCUGUGUCCCCCAGGGGAAGGCGCCACGCUGGAUCGUGCUAGCCCGUGUGGGCAGGGGAAGACGCAGAGCCCACCCUAGCUCUGGAGACGCCGCCGAGGGCUUGGGAGAAGGUCCCUGGCCAGCCCUGCGAAUCCAGGAGCCGCCACUAGGCAGGGAAUAGUCAUCCGAGGAAUGUGAUGGGCUCUGAGGUGGCCCCCUCUGAGGCUUUUCGGGAGGCGGCCCAAGUCAGAGCCCGCCACACCCCCGGGUCCCCGGGGUCCUCUGAGCACGUCUGGUGCCCAGAUGCACCGUGCAGAUGAAACCACGCUUGCCCCUUCACAGGGGCCUGGGCCUCCGGGAUUUUAGUCCCAAAGCCACACUUCAGGACAGGGCUGCGAACCUGCACGGGGCUUAGCGCCUUCCAAGUCGGCUCAGACUGGACAGCCCUCCCACGGCUUGGAGUUUUGUUCAGUUUUCCUCGUUCAAACUUUGCUCUUCUCAUCGCCACCAUGGAUGCCGAAACCCCUUCGGGCACAGUGUCUAUACCUCCGCCUUGAGACUCUCUCUACAAGCAUGCGUGUUCCUUAUGGUGGGACCCUUUGGAUCUGGGUCAUUACCCACUUUCUGGCCUUUGUCCCCCCCCCCGCCCCCACACACAGACACCCUCUCUCCUGGGUUUUCCAAGAAAUAUCUUCCUGAGCCCUUGCUGAGGAAUAGCUGAAUUUUCUUUCUUGUUUGUUGUUUUUCUUUUCCGUUCUUGUUUUUGUUUCUUCUAGCGAGGAUACAUCCUUAUUGGUUGGAGAGUUGAGUUGAGCAAGUUUUUGGUUUCUCCAGCUCCUAGGCCCGGGUCCCGUGGUGGACAAUGUCCCUGAAGGACCCCGCGAUCACCGCACAGCCAAGCUCACCACUCUAGUUGAAAUCCGAAGCUUCAGCAUUCCCACGGGCUCCCCAGGGCAUCGUGUGCCCAAGGUGCCUCAGCCCCCGCGCCUGAGGGGGAGAAGUGCCCCUGCCUCGUGGUCCUGGAGGAUGGCUCAUAAACCCACCGAAGGUUUGGGGACCAGUCCCUUUUCACAGAGGUGGUAAGGGAUGGAGACCGGACUGCCCCCUCCUGACUGGAACCAAAUGUCUCCUCCUGGGCUUUGGUCUUGUUGAGUGCUGCCAGCCCCCGCCCGGCACCCCGUGGCCAGGUACCCCGGGCACAAUUUUGACCUGAGGCUAUUUAUUGUGUGAGAGAGCUCAAGGGCUUCCGUCCUAUGCCUGUUGGCCUCCCUGUGGUCUCCGCGUGCCCUUUCCUGUCUCCGUCUCCACGGCGUGGUCCUGUCUGCUGCCCUUCAGUCUCUCGUGGGACCCUCGGCCUCUCUCGCCCUACGUGGGCAUCAGGUAUGCUAGCAUUUACUUACACCGUUUCCUUCAAUCACUUCACCCUUGGCACACCUUAGGAAGCAAAUGAAACCUCGCCCUUAGCAAAAAUAGCCCCGAGUCACGAUUCCUUGGGCCCCGCUCAUUGGAGGGGGGCUCUGGAGCCAUAGGGAUGCAGGCGGCCUCCUGCUCGCUCAUCCCUUGCGAGCUGGCGGAGCUGCCGAUCUGCUUGGUCUCACUCUGCCCUGGUUUCCUCGUCUGUAAGAGGAGAGCAACAAUCUCGGCAGCGUGCUGCCGGAGUGACUGAGAUGACACACGGGAACUAUGGCUGAUGGCCCUGCCCUGCCCUCCCCAAUCUGGACUGCAGCCCGUCUUCUGUUUCUUUACUCACAGGCGCCGUGAGAGCAGAGAGCCGCUGGUUCGUCACCAGAGGUCGGCAACGAGGACAGAUCGUGAUCUUGUGACCUAAGCACACCGUGGACUCUUCAGGUUGUUCCAGGAAGCUGUAUCAUUUUCCAUACUGACCCCCAGCCUGAAGCCUGGGACAGCAGGUUCCUCUCCUGUAAUCCGGUGUUAAGGCCCAGGAGGCCAGGGCUCUGCGCGGGGAACGGCCGCGACAGAAGGGAAGGGGGUGCCCCAUGGCACAGAAAGCAGAAGUUGGCUGCGGGAUCGGGAGCGGGAUCAGUAGGACUGGUUUGGGGAUCCUUGAUCAAGGCCACUCCGCUGAUGGCUCAGGCCGUUCCAGUUCCCAUUCCAGUUCCCAGACCGAAGGCAAGAAGGCAGAUUUGCUGUGCUCAGGACUCUUAGUGCCACGCUUCCCUGUUGCUGCCAGCCGUUCCUUGGCUUCCAGGAUGCAACGCCACGCAUCUGCCCAAAGCAGAGACUUGAAACUAGUGCCAGGGAAAUCAACAAAGCCCUUCCCGUGCCUAGAGUGGGCUCCUGCUCGAGACGGGACCAGCUGUGUGCAUCUAGGGAAAUGAGCCACGGAGGCAACACGUUCCCUGCACCCUUCCGUUACCUCAGGACCCUCUUGGAGUCUAAGUUGAACAGGAGACUGGGUCUUUUCUCAGCCAGGUGCCUGAAAUGACUGAAGACGGGAACUUGCAAGACGCAUGGGUGUGACUGAAACCCGAGUGCAGGUGUGGUUUAAGAACAGAAGAGCCAAGU